GCAUGAGUGCCAGAAGAUAUGGGUUUGGUUUAGGACCUCAUUAUAGUGUUUAUACUCUCUUGCU
rnacentral:tRNA from 1 species